UGGGGAAUCUUUCGCAAUGGGCGAAAGCCUGGCGGAGCGACACCGCGUGGGGGAAGAAGGCCUUCGGGUCGUAAACCCCUUUUCCGGGGAAAGAAUAAAGAUGGGAGGAAAUGCCCAUCUGAUGACGGUACCCCAGGAAUAAGCCACGGCUAACUCUGUG
rnacentral:rRNA from 1 species